AUUGAACGCUGGCGGCAUGCUUUACACAUGCAAGUCGAACGGGGUGAAGGGGCAACUCUUCAUUCAGUGGCGAACGGGUGAGUAAUGCAUCGGAACGUACCUCGUAGUGGGGAGUAACUCGGCGAAAGCCGUGCUAAUACCGCAUAUGCUCUACGGAGGAAAGACAGGGGACCGUGAAAGGGCCUUGUGCUAUGGGAGCGGCCGAUGUCCGAUUAGCUAGUUGGGGGGUAAGUGGCCUACCAAGGCGACGAUCGGUAGCUGGUCUGAGAGGAUGAUCAGCCACACUGGGACUGGGACACGGCCCAGACUCCUACGGGAGGCAGCAGUGGGGAAUCUUGCGCAAUGGGCGAAAGCCUGACGCAGCCAUGCCGCGUGAAUGAUGAAGGUCUUAGGAUUGUAAAAUUCUUUCAGCGGGACGAUAAUGACGGUACCCGCAGAAGAAGCCCCGGCUAACCAUGUGCCA
rnacentral:rRNA from 1 species